CGCAGCUACCAUGCAGUCGAGCGGAACGAGUUAUCUGAGCCUUCGGGGGACGAUAACGGCGUCGAGCGGCGGACGGGUGAGUAAUGCCUAGGAAAUUGCCCUGAUGUGGGGGAUAACCAUUGGAAACGAUGGCUAAUACCGCAUAAUGCCUACGGGCCAAAGAGGGGGACCUUCGGGCCUCUCGCGUCAGGAUAUGCCUAGGUGGGAUUAGCUAGUUGGUGAGGUAAUGGCUCACCAAGGCGACGAUCCCUAGCUGGUCUGAGAGGAUGAUCAGCCACACUGGAGCUGAGACACGGUCCAGACUCCUACGGGAGGCAGCAGUGGGGAAUAUUGCACAAUGGGCGCAAGCCUGAUGCAGCCAUGCCGCGUGUGUGAAGAAGGCCUUCGGGUUGUAAAGCACUUUCAGUCGUGAGGAAGGUAGUGUAGUUAAUAGCUGCAUUAUUUGACGUUAGCGACAGAAGAAGCACCGGCUAACUCCGUGCCAGCAGCCGCGGUAAUACGGAGGGUGCGAGCGUUAAUCGGAAUUACUGGGCGUAAAGCGCAUGCAGGUGGUUUGUUAAGUCAGAUGUGAAAGCCCGGGGCUCAACCUCGGAAUAGCAUUUGAAACUGGCAGACUAGAGUACUGUAGAGGGGGGUAGAAUUUCAGGUGUAGCGGUGAAAUGCGUAGAGAUCUGAAAGGGAAAUACCCGGGUGGGCGAAGGCGGCCCCCCUGGACAGAUACUGACACUCAGAUGCGAAAGCGUGGGGAGCAAACAGGAUUAGAUACCCUGGUAGUCCACGCCGUAAACG
rnacentral:rRNA from 1 species